CAUGACCACGCACUGCUAGUAGUCGGAUCCUCAAGGAGCAGCCGGUUUUAUUCUGAAGUCAUGGAAACCCCUACAGGUGGGGGCAGUAAUCCGGCUGUGUGAUCCGGGAGGUCGCUGGCUGUACCCGGGCAAGUCUAUAACGCUGACUCUUAGGAACCAGAGUCCGCUAUUACCACCUUCCCUGGCAGGGAAUUCCACAUCCUGAUUGCCCUAACAGUGAAGAUCCCUUUCCUCCGUUGCGUUCGGAACUUUCUCUCCUCCAGCCGCAGAGCAGAUCUGAAUCCCCACAAGCUUUAACCAGGAGAUUGGGUGUAUCUGGAAAGACACGUGAAAAAGUCACUUGAGCCCAGAUUUGAUGGUCCAUAUCGAGUGUUUCUGACCAUGCCCACUUCUGUGUCAAUUAAGGAAAGAGAAACUUGGGUUCCACUGCAAUUUUGCUCAAGUUAAGUUUGAACGAUGAAAUAUGCAAACAUGCAAAGGCUAAUUGUGCCUAAACUAGACAGACCACUAUGGGUCAUUAUAUUGGGAACUUCAGUACUUAUUAUAGUCAUAAUAUACUUUAUAGCUCUCACAGGAGAGGGCAGGGACUGGCAUGUCCGCCAAUCCAAAGUUACAUACCACACUAGAGCUUGUGUUAGUCAAGUUAAAGUAAAGAUCAUAAAAUCUCUAGAAGUUCAAAGAUACCAGUUAAUUUAGAAAUGCUGGGCUCACAUGGGCCCACAUCUGGAAAAGGAGGGGAAUGGACAUCUGUCCCCACUACAUAUAAGAGUAUAAGAGGUUUUAAUUUGUUUAGAGCAAAUACAUACUACUAAAAUAGAGUAAUAUUUUUUAGAAUAUGUAUGAAGAGAACUCCAAAAAUGUGUUGUAUAUUUAUUACUAAUGAAACAAAUAGUGCGCAAGAAGUCAUUUAGAGAAAUGUUCUGCUUAAAUCAAGCUAAUUGGUUUAGCGGGAUCAAAGAGUAGAUUGUUGAAAUAGUGAUUUUUUUUAUUAAAAAUUGUUGGCUUAGCAAAUUGCAUAUAUCUGAAUUUAAGAUGCUAUUUUGUUUCCUUUCCUUUCAGCUUGAAAGAAAUCUGUAAAGUGUAAACUCAAAGAUGCGAAUCCUCCAAGUUUAAGAAACUACAGAAGAGCUUGGCAAGAAGGAGCCGUGAGCAGUCUACCUUAAUGGAUAUGAUGUGAACGGUUCUUUACCUUCCGUGGGAUAGAGUGACCAGCACCGUCCUACGGGAACAUAGCCUUUAGCACCAUUAUAGCUAGACUGUUUGCUUAGUCUCUUGUAGGUAGAGUUUAUGUGAUGCCUUGUAGCUCAACUGUAAUGUCAUAUUGUAAUACCAGAUAAACCUGUAAUGUUUGAUUAUUAUAAAUAGGAGGGAAAAUGAUAGAGAUAAAGCUUAGCUACCAUGCUUAAUUAUAAUAAUGCAAUUCAUUUCAAUAUUAGAAAGAGAUUUGAUUAAACUAGCCUUGAACAUAUGGAAAAUAUAAAAGCGUGUUUUAUAUAACAUUGUGUGUGAAAGUGAGCAUCUGGCACCCUGCUCUCUCCUCAGAAACGGAAAAUAUCUAAAUGUAGCUCCAGAUAAGCAGAAGGACAAGGGGCAUAUGAAGUUAUAUAAUUGUGUUAAUCAUUUACUGCCAAUAUAUGUGUAUAAAUAUU